rnacentral:lncRNA from 1 species
GCCUGCCCCCCACACACACCUACAUACGCCUCAUACACAUAGACACAAAGACGCAUGCCCCACACACACACCUACAUACGCCUCAUACACAUAGACACAAAGACGCAUGCCCCACACACACACCUACAUACGCCUCAUACACAUAGACACAAAGACGCAUGCCCCACACAUCAUACACAUAGACACAAAGACACAUGCCCCCCACACACCUACAUAUGUCUCAUACACAUAGACACAAAGACACAUGCCCCCCACACACACCUACAUAUGUCUCAUACACAUAAACACAAAGACACAUGCCCACACAUACACACCUACAUAUGUCUCAUACACAUAGACACAAAGAUGCAUGCCCCCCACACACACCUACAUACACCUCAUACACAUAGACACAAAGACACAUGCCUCCCCACACCCACAGAGGCCCCCACACCUACAUACACCUCACCACAUAUGCCUCAUACACAUAGACACAAAGACACAUGCCACCCCCCACACAGAGGCCCCCAUACCUACAUACACCUCAUACACAUAUACACAAAGACACAUGCCCCCCCCCACACACACACAGACACUCACUAAUUAGCCCAAGAACGCCCAGGCUGUCCGUACAGAGAAGGUGCAGGCCUUUUGCCUGUGAGCUUUGGCUUUCCGGAUACCAACUACUAUCCAUGCUACCCUGGAAGAUGAAGGGACACAAUGAGCUCCCCAUGAAUAUAGAAGAAGGGGGAGCCCUCCCUCUCCUACUCCACUCUUCUGCCCCUCACUUGAGACGCCCAGCAAAGUCUAAGAUCUUGGAUCUCUUCCAUCAUCGGCUGAGGAUGAAAGGGAUACAUAGAAAUGAUAGGGAAUGGC